UAAUACGUAGGAUGCAAGCGUUGUCCGGAAUUAUUGGGCGUAAAGCGUACGUAGGCGGUUUGUUAAGUCAGGGGUUAAAGACCGAGGCUCAACCUCGGGAGUGCCUUUGAUACUGGCAGACUGGAGGACGGCAGAGGAAAGUGGAAUUCCCAGUGUAGCGGUGAAAUGCGUAGAUAUUGGGAGGAACACCAGUGGCGAAAGCGACUUUCUGGGCCGUUCCUGACGCUGAGGUACGAAAGCGUGGGGAGCAAACAGGAUUAGAUACCCUGGUAGUCCACGCCGUAAACGAUGGAUACUAGGUGUAGAGGGUAUCGACCCCCUCUGUGCCGUAGCUAACGCGUUAAGUAUCCCGCCUGGGGAGUACGGUCGCAAGGCUG
rnacentral:rRNA from 1 species